rnacentral:rRNA from 1 species
GACGAACGCUGGCGGCGUGCCUAACACAUGCAAGUCGAGCGGUCCGGCACUCAACUAAGUGCUUACUUAAGGGGAAGGAAGUAUAGUAGAAGAAGAAAGUAAUAAAAGUGGUGCAAAGUAAGGUAAGCACGGAGUUGAGUGCCGGAUAGCGGCGGACGGGUGAGUAACGCGUGGGCAACCUACCCUUAAGACCGGGAUAACACCUCGAAAGGGGUGCUAAUACUGGAUAAGCUCCUUGUAGGGCAUCCUAUGGGGAGGGAAGGUAGCGGAAGCUACCGCUUAAGGAUGGGCCCGCGUCCCAUCAGCUAGUUGGUAGGGUAACGGCCUACCAAGGUGACGACGGGUAGCCGGCCUGAGAGGGUGGUCGGCCACACUGGGACUGAGACACGGCCCAGACUCCUACGGGAGGCAGCAGUGGGGAAUCUUGCGCAAUGGGCGAAAGCCUGACGCAGCGACGCCGCGUGAGCGAAGAAGGCC